rnacentral:lncRNA from 1 species
CUUAUUCUGGGAAAAUUGCAAGGCGUAUAUUUUAUUUACAAGACAGUCAUGUGACACCUUGGUCACCAUAGCAACUUGACAGUUGGGGAAAUGGCUGCCAGGCGGUUUAGCUUGUUUCAAGAAAUGCUAAUAUGACUAUUUUUACAGAAGUUUCUCCAACAAGCUCACCUGGAAGUGUCACAGAGCAGAGACAUCUCUCCACCCAACCGUACUGUAAGACAGCAGAGACAUCGCUCUACCCAACCAUAUGGCAACAGUCCCAGUCUCUUCACUCGUCCCGCAGUUUCUCCACCGGAAGAAAGCACAAGGUAAGGACCUUGCUUCCGGUAGCACUGAAGGCCCCAGUAUUCAGUCAGGCAGCUUGAAGAAGAUGUGUGUCACCAUCCAGGCCAAUGUCACGGCAUGCAGUGGCCUGAUAGGGAGAUGACAAUAAAUGCGUCAUGUACCUUUCAUCAC